UAAGUUUCCAUUUAACCAAUCCAAUGGAUGUUGUGGGAACAAAACUAAAAAAUUUAACAAAUGAAGCAGCAAUUUGAGAUAUUUGUAGUGUUGUAUUUAACACACAACUCACACUCAUCUAUAUUUGCAUUCUGUUUUAUCCUCCCAAGGCGAGAAGGAAAGGUUUAUUUGGCGAGUCAGGUUGUCUGCUGUUUUGUGGAGCCUUUGGAGAAAGAGGAACGACGAAAUCAUCAUAGCACUGAGAGAACUUUGAGUGAUAUUUGGUCCUUUUUAAGAAAGUUUAGUGCUUCAGUUAUUCAUCCAAAAGAACAAAUACCACUCACAUCAUGCACACACACACUCAGUUCAGGGUAAGUACCUAGCAAGCACAAGUACUUCGGCAUUAACAGCAUGGAGUCGAGAAUUAGCGUACGCAGCAGCUGAUUUGAGCAGCUUCAGCUUCCAAAGAAGAGUAUCCUUCGGUAUAAUGCUAGCCAAAUCCUGAAAGUAGAAUGGACGAGAAGAGAUUUCAACUCAAAUUUCUUUUUCAGGCAUUUUCAACUUUAUUUCAACUCAAUUAGUCAACCAUGUACAAAAAUUACAAUGCCUAAGAUAUAAUAAGUUAAUUUAGAGUA